rnacentral:lncRNA from 1 species
AAAUUUUGAUUUUUUUUUUUUUAAAAUAAAAUAAACUCCAACUCUCUCUCUCAGUGUUCUCGCAAAUGUUGUUCAAACAAUGAUUUGAAUUUAUCAUUUCUCUUAUUAUGUAUAGAUGUAUAGAUAUAUAUGAGUGAUGAAUAUUGUGAUAGAAAGAAAAGUUUACCCAAAUUGAAAAAUUUAUCAAUUCAGUUCCCAAAUUUCAGAUUCGUCUUCUACAGAAUUCAGUUCUCAAAUUUCAGUUGAGUUGAGUUCCUAAAUUCCAAAACCCUAACAAUGAAUAGUUCAGUUUAGUUCUUCUUCCGAGUUUAGUUCU